rnacentral:rRNA from 1 species
UACGAAGGGGGCUAGCGUUGUUCGGAAUUACUGGGCGUAAAGCGCGCGCAGGCGGCUAUCCAAGUCAGUGGUGAAAGCCCGGAGCUCAACUCCGGAACUGCCAUUGAAACUGUUUAGCUUGAGGACGAGAGAGGUGAGUGGAAUUCCCAGUGUAGAGGUGAAAUGCGUAGAGAUCGGGAGGAACAUCAGUUGCGAAGGCGGCUCUCUGGACCAGCACUGACACUGAGGCACGAAAGCGUGGGGAGCAAACAGG